rnacentral:misc_RNA from 1 species
UGGCUCUCGCAUCGAUGAAGAACGCAGCGAAAUGCGAUAAGUAAUGUGAAUUGCAGAAUUCAGUGAAUCAUCGAAUCUUUGAACGCAACUUGCGCUCCUUGGUAUUCCAUGGAGCAUGCCUGUUUGAGUGUCACGUAAACCCUCACCCUUGUGAUGUUACAGUCGUCAUGUGGUGGAUUUGGACUGUGCCGUAAUUGGCUCGUCCUGAAAUGCAUUAGCUUGCGCUUUUUACAGUGCUCGGCAUGGUGUGAUAAUUAUCUGCGCCACAGCCUUAGGCCUGUUCUAUAUGUGUAGCUUCUAAUCGUCCUUCUCGGACAACUUACUUAACACUUUGGCCUCAAAUCAGGUAGGACUACCCGCUGA